UUCCUACGGGGCGCAGCAGUGGGGAAUACUGCGCAAUGGGCGAAGGCCUGACGCAGCGACGCCGCGUGAGGGAUGAAGGUCUUCGGAUCGUAAACCUCUGUCAGCAGGGAAGAACGGUCACUGUGCUAAUCAGCAGCGAAUUGACGGUACCUGCAAAGGAAGCACCGGCUAACUCCGUGCCAGCAGCCGCGGUAAUACGGAGGGUGCGAGCGUUAACCGGACUUACUGGGCGUAAAGCGCUCGUAGGCGGUAUGUCAAGUCAAGGGUGAAGUCCCCGCGCUCAACGUGGGAAC
rnacentral:rRNA from 1 species